rnacentral:rRNA from 1 species
CAGCAGCCGCGGGAAUACGUAGGGUGCGAGCGUUAAUCGGAAUUACUGGGCGUAAAGCGUGCGCAGGCGGUUGUGUAAGACAGGUGUGAAAUCCCCGGGCUUAACCUGGGAACUGCGCUUGUUACUGCACAGCUAGAGUAUGGCAGAGGGGGGUGGAAUUCCACGUGUAGCAGUGAAAUGCGUAGAGAUGUGGAGGAACACCGAUGGCGAAGGCAGCCCCCUGGGCCAAUACUGACGCUCAUGCACGAAAGCGUGGGGAGCAAACAGGAUUAGAUACCCCCGUAGUCCCUGUCUCUUAUAC